rnacentral:rRNA from 1 species
AUUGAACGCUGGCGGCAGGCUUAACACAUGCAAGUCGAGCGAGCGGCGGAAGGGUGAGUAAUGUCUGGGAAACUGCCUGAUGGAGGGGGAUAACUACUGGAAACGGUAGCGAAUACCGCAUACCAUCAGAUGUGCACAGAUGGGAUUAGCUAGUAGGUGGGGUAAUGGCUCACCUAGGCGACGAUCCCUAGCUGGUGUGAGAGGAUGACCAGCCACGAGGGAACGGAGACACGGUGCAGGCUCCUGCGGGAGGCAGCAGGGGGGAAUAUUGCACAAUGGGCGCGGGCCUGGUGCAGCCAUGCCGCGUGUGUGAAGAAGGCCUUCGGGUUGUAAAGCACUUUCAGCGAGGAGGCGUUACUCGCAGAAGAAGCACCGGCUAACUCCGUGCCAGCAGCCGCGGUAAUUC